CUUCACUGACGGCAAACCCUUACUCGCUCUACUACCUCUGGCCAAUACAAUGCUAUUGUAUCCCUCUUAAAAGGACCUGAGCCCUUGGACCAUGCUUCAGGACUACCUGCCAUGAUGACUCCUUGCUGUCCCCAGUCCACUCGGCCUUGCUGCUGUUCCAGUUUCAACUGUUCUGCCUGCGGCUAUGGAACCCUAAACUGUUCAUUUUUACUCUUGAGGUGCUGUCCUGUUGCACCCUCUACAACCACUGUGAUCUCCACCCGGCACAGCCAGAA
ensembl:lncRNA